rnacentral:rRNA from 1 species
GGAAUUUUGGACAAUGGGGGCAACCCUGAUCCAGCCAUGCCGCGUGAGUGAAGAAGGCCUUCGGGUUGUAAAGCUCUUUCAGUCGGGAAGAAAAGGCGUGCUCUAACAUAGCGCGUUCAUGACGGUACCGACAGAAGAAGCACCGGCUAACUACGUGCCAGCAGCCGCGGUAAUACGUAGGGUGCGAGCGUUAAUCGGAAUUACUGGGCGUAAAGCGUGCGCAGGCGGUUGUGUAAGACAGGUGUGAAAUCCCCGGGCUUAACCUGGGAACUGCGCUUGUGACUGCACGGCUAGAGUACGGCAGAGGGGGGUGGAAUUCCACGUGUAGCAGUGAAAUGCGUAGAUAUGUGGAGGAACACCGAUGGCGAAGGCAGCCCCCUGGGCCGGUUCUGACGCUGAGGCGCGAAAGCGUGGGGAGCA